rnacentral:rRNA from 1 species
AUAACGACUCUCGGCAACGGAUAUCUCGGCUCUCGCAUCGAUGAAGAACGUAGCGAAAUGCGAUACUUGGUGUGAAUUGCAGAAUCCCGUGAACCAUCGAGUCUUUGAACGCAAGUUGCGCCCGAAGCCAUUUGGCCGAGGGCACGCCUGCCUGGGCGUCACGC